rnacentral:rRNA from 1 species
AUAGAGACUCAGAGCUGCAUAUCAAUAAGCGGAGGAAAAGAAACUAACAAGGAUUCCCUUAGUAACGGCGAGUGAAGCGGGAUGAGCUCAAAUUUGAAAUCUUCAAGGUUCUACCUUGACGAAUUGUAGUUUAAAGAAGUGUUUUCUGUUAGAUGAGUAGCAAAAGUUCCUUGGAAUGGGACAUCAUAGAGGGUGAGAAUCCCGUAUUUGGUUAUUCAUUCUAGCUUUGUGAUACACUUUCAAAGAGUCGGAUUGUUUGGGAAUGCAGUCCAAAAUGGGUGGUAAAUUUCAUCUAAAGCUAAAUAUUGGCGAGAGACCGAUAGCGAACAAGUACCGUGAGGGAAAGAUGAAAAGAACUUUGAAAAGAGAGUUAAACAGUACGUGAAAUUGUCAAAAGGGAAGCGUUUGACACCAGUGUUGUUUUUCCGAAAAUCAAUUACGAAUGGCUUGAUUUUGUGUUGUAUUGACCUUAUCAGCUUUCUUCACUUUUUUCGAGUCUUUCUUAAUGCACUUUUUGGUUAACAAGUCAACAUCAAUUUCUUUUGUUGUAAAAGAGUAUUCGGAAGGUGGCUUUCAUUUCGGUAGAAAGUGUUUAUAGCCCUAUAGCUUCUAGCAAUCGGAGAGAUUGAGGUCUGCAGCGUAGAUCCUUCGGGGUUAGAUACAGUUAGAUGCUAAGUUAUAGCUUUUCAUAGACAACUUGUUGACUAUGAUUAGUCAUGUCGCUUACUCGCUUAUGCUAUUUUACCUACGCUUAGGAUGUUGACGAUCAGCUGAGCGCG